rnacentral:rRNA from 1 species
UACGGAGGGGGCUAGCGUUGUUCGGAAUUACUGGGCGUAAAGCGCACGUAGGCGGCUUGGUAAGUUAGAGGUGAAAGCCUGGAGCUCAACUCCAGAAUUGCCCUUAAGACUGCCGAGCUAGCAGGUGAGAGAGGUGAGUGGAAUUCCGAGUGUAGAGGUGAAAUUCGUAGAUAUUCGGAAGAACACCAGUGGCGAAGGCGGCUCACUGGCUCAUACUGGACGCUGAGGUGCGAAAGCGUGGGGAGCAAACAGG